AUUGAACGCUGGCGGCAUGCCUUACACAUGCAAGUCGAACGGCAGCACGGGUGCUUGCACCUGGUGGCGAGUGGCGAACGGGUGAGUAAUAUAUCGGAACGUACCGUAUUGUGGGGGAUAACGCAGCGAAAGCUGUGCUAAUACCGCAUAAUCCCUUAGGGGGAAAGCGGGGGACCGUAAGGCCUCGCGCAAUUAGAGCGGCCGAUACCUGAUUAGCUAGUUGGUGAGGUAAAGGCUCACCAAGGCGACGAUCAGUAGCUGGUCUGAGAGGACGAGCAGCCACACUGGGACUGCGACACGGCCCAGACUCCUACGGGAGGCAGCAGUGGGGGAUUUUGGACAAGGGGGGCAACCCUGAUCCAGCAAUGCCGCGUGAGUGAAGAAGGCCUUCGGGUUGUAAAGCUCUUUUGUCAGGGAAGAAACAGCAGCUCUAACACAGUAUGCGAAUGACGAUACCUGAAGAAUAAGCACCGGUUAACUACGUGCCAGCCGCCGCAGUAA
rnacentral:rRNA from 1 species